rnacentral:rRNA from 1 species
AGUAACGGCGAGUGAAGCGGCAACAGCUCAAAUUUGAAAUCUGGCGCAAGCCCGAGUUGUAAUUUGUAGAGGAUGCUUCAGGGCAGCGGCCGGUCUAAGUUCCUUGGAACAGGACGUCAUAGAGGGUGAGAAUCCCGUAUGCGACCGGUUGGCACCCGUCACGUAGCUCCUUCGACGAGUCGAGUUGUUUGGGAAUGCAGCUCUAAAUGGGAGGUAAAUUUCUUCUAAAGCUAAAUACCGGCCAGAGACCGAUAGCGCACAAGUAGAGUGAUCGAAAGAUGAAAAGCACUUUGGAAAGAGAGUUAAAAAGCACGUGAAAUUGUUGAAAGGGAAGCGCAUGCAACCAGACUUGUCGGCGGUGUUCCGCCGGUCUUCUGACCGGUCCAUUCGCCGCCGACAGGCCAGCAUCAUCUGGGCGCGCCGGAUAAAGGCGUAGGGAAUGUGGCUCCUCGGAGUAUUAUAGCCCCGCGCACAAUACGGCGCCGCUCGGGUGAGGUCCGCGCUUCGGCUAGGAUGCUGGCGUAAUGGUUGUCUGCGGCCCGUCUUGAAACACGGACCAAGGAGUCUAACAUCUAUGCGAGUGUUCGGGCGUCAAACCCCUACGCGUAAUGAAAGUGAACGGAGGUGGGAAGCGCAAGCUGCACCAUCGACCGAUCCUGAUGUCUUCGGAUGGAUUUGAGUAAGAGCAUAGCUGUUGGGACCCGAAAGAUGGUGAACUAUGCCUGAAUAGGGUGAAGCCAGAGGAAACUCUGGUGGAGGCUCGCAGCGGUUCUGACGUGCAAAUCGAUCGUCAAAUUUGGGUAUA